AAGGCAUAAUGAAAGCAGUCACUCUGUAUGCAGGGGUUCAAGGUGGAGCUGGCUAGGUCAAGAUUCUCUUUCUGUUUACGGAAAAACCUUUCUGGCCUGACUGUACGCUAGAUCGUGUAGAGGAAACUGAGUGCAUAUGUGAAUAGCUUUAGGUUAAAAUACUUUUUUAGAUGCAAUUUGUUACGAAAGGACAGUUGUAUCGAUUUCUAGGUGGUCAUGGAAGUGACUACAGAGAAGGUCAUGAUCGGAUCGUUCAUUUCGACAUGAAGUGACAGAAAGCGUAUUUCUAAAACUCUGUACAGUAAAUUUGUCAAGACGUUUAUGGCCGGUAACCGGUCGGAGAUGACAAAUGAACACCAAAACGUAUCCUCAGCCUCUACCAUACAUUGAUGGAAUUACAAAGAUGUGAACUUGACGAAGAAGUUUAAGGGUGGAAAAGAUAACAAGUCAAAAAAAAAUGCAAUUUGUAAUCAGCACUGCAGUGAUCGAAAGAUCUGUUGGUGUUCAUUAAAAGAUAAGUCUGCAUGUCUUUGUGAUUGACAGCUGUCACUGAGCUUAAGUAUGACAGUUAUUUUUUGUGCGGAAUCCCAUUGAAAACUGUGUAUGUUUUACAAAAGCCUUCUAUAACGUCAACUAGUAUGAAGCGGAAUAUURUGAACAUCUUAUCACGWACAAUUUCUAGAUAUGUUUUUUCGAAUCAUUUCUUUAAUUUCUCAAGAAUCGGUGUUUUGUCGUAACGUUCCACUCAUCCCAUGCCAUGACUGGGAAGGUGCCACGCAUCAAUCUGAUCAGGCCAUGUGAUCGAAAAAACUUUCCUUUAAAAGACAGUUAUCUUCGAUUCUUAAAAGCUUGAUUCUUUCUAAUUGGUACCUACUUAUAUUUUGUACGUCUAACUUUUAAUGUCCUGGUAAAUUGAUCAACUUUUAGUAAUUCGUGUUUAAGUGAGUAUGUAUGGCACAGUAGUAUAUUCAAUGUUCCCUGUAGGAGCUUUGGCGGCGUCCAUUUGAUCACUUUUCUCAGAAAACAAAAUAUGGCGGUCUCUUGAAACGCUUACUGUUCGCUGACAUGUUUAUACAAUGCUUGUUGAAAAGACUUUCCAAAAACAAAACUAUGGCGUCUUUGUUGACAUGGGCCACAUAUAUCAUUAGUAAAUAAUCCCAAAACAAUUGUAAUAUUAUCAAAAAAUCAUUAUUUUUGAUAGAAAUUGUAUCUUGUAUUCAAUAAUAAGUUAUUACACAGUUUUGAAAGUAAACUCAAUUUUACAAUAAAACGAUAUUUCCCCGUUAUCGUAUCACAGUCAUACUAGUUCGCGCGCUUUAUUCUUGAAAGGGUCGCUUCAUGAUGUAAAAGUCAACAGUUACUCAAUGUAAAUGAAAUUAAACUGCCAAAAAGGUUACCAUUGAGGCAUAAUCUACGGUUGUAAGUAGUGAAUAAACAUUCAUAUCUUAAAUAAUUAUCUUUAAAGUCUAUAUUACUGCCGUUGAGUCUGUGCAGUAGAACAAGGUCGAGUGUUGUUCAAGUAGAGACAAAAGAUAUGACAAAACAGUCACAUUUAUGUUUGAAAUAACACAUAAAUAAACUUGAACGCUAGUGUAACAUCACAGCAAUUAACACAAAAGUUUUUCAUUUGUUUUCUGAAUUUGUUUAUGUC